GAUGAACGCUAGCGACAGGCCUAACACAUGCAAGUCGAGGGGCAACAGGGAACAAGCUUGCUUGUUCUGCUGGCGACCGGCGCACGGGUGAGUAACACGUAUGCAACCUGCCCGUCACAGGGGGAUAACCGGGGGGAAACCCCGCCUAAAUACCCCCAUAUUAUAUAGUUAUUGCAUGAUGAUUAUAUGAAAACCUUGGUGGUGACGGAUGGGCAUGCGGUGCAUUAGCUAGUUGGUGAGGUAACCGGCUCACCAAGGCGACGAUGCAUAGGGGUUCUGAGAGGAAGGUCCCCCANACUGGUACUGAGACACGGGACCAGACUCCUAGGGAGGCAGCAGUUGA
rnacentral:rRNA from 1 species